rnacentral:sRNA from 1 species
UUUUGGGAUUUUUAUAGGGAUAUUUUGGGCUUUGCAGGUAAAAGGUAUUUGAUUCGGUAAUUAAUUUAGAUACUAGGGUUAUUUGAUGGUCUCAAGUAAAGGCCUUUUGGGUUUUUAGUUGUUUUAACUUGUCUUCUAUCAAUCACCUGUGGUCUCCUUUCCCUCUCAUGUUCAGGUUCCAUAGGCUUCUUGAAGCACCUAGCUUUGGCUUACCAUAGAAGAUUAAAGAUAUUUUCUAAGAAAAAUUCGGAUAAUUCUAGAGAAGAGAAAAAAAGAAGAAAAGAAAGAGAGGAAUUAGAUCACUUUAUCACUCCAUUUCUGUUGGAAUCAAGAAAAAGUGAGGCAGCAAAAAAAUUUCAGAUCUUCGACAAGAUUCGGGUCAAGGCCUUGACUAAGGGAAUUGUGGCUUUUGGACAUUUGUACCUAUGUCGGAAGGACUUUUGGUUUUUGGCUUCAAAAGAAUCAGCUUUGUUGGUUUUUCAUUGAAAAUGACCUGUUUAUCAUAUUAUUUUAAUGUCAUUUAUUUAUUUAUAAAACAACUUAAAAAUAUUUUUUCUAACUUUCAACAUUGGAUGCAUAAGAAGCAAGUGUGCUUAAAGAGCUUAAGUUAGGAAUGUCAACCAAAUUAUUGUCAUGGUAAUCAUUAUUACAACACUAACAUUCAUAUUUAAAUUGAUUAUUUAUAUAUACA